rnacentral:rRNA from 1 species
GACGAACGCUGGCGGCGUGCUUAACACAUGCAAGUCGAACGGAAAGGCCCUGCUUUUGUGGGGUGCUCGAGUGGCGAACGGGUGAGUAACACGUGAGUAACCUGCCCUUGACUUUGGGAUAACUUCAGGAAACUGGGGCUAAUACCGGAUAGGAGCUCCUGCUGCAUGGUGGGGGUUGGAAAGUUUCGGCGGUUGGGGAUGGACUCGCGGCUUAUCAGCUUGUUGGUGGGGUAGUGGCUUACCAAGGCUUUGACGGGUAGCCGGCCUGAGAGGGUGACCGGCCACAUUGGGAAUGAGAUACGGCCCCGACUCCUACGGGAGGCAGAAGUUGGGAAUAAUGCACAAUGGGCGGAAGCCUGAUGCAGCAACGCCGCGUGCGGGAUGACGGCCUUCGGGUUGUAAACCGCUUUCGCCUGGGACGAAGCGUGAGUGACGGUAAUGGGUAAAGAAGCACCGGCUAACUACGUG